CCAACUGCAAGGAUUGGGAUACCUUCAUAUUCUCCCUGCUGCUUUCAGAGAGCCAUCCAUCAAUGAACACAGACUGCUAUAAAGCUGUUGCAUCUGAUUUAGCUCGUUUUGCGUCUGGGGAAGAAGAGUUACCUUCACCUGAUUCAAUCGCUUCGCUUUCAUGUCCCUUAUGCUUCCUACUUGCAGCAGGCAAACCAUCUUCUCGAGCACCCUCCGCAUUCUCCGUGUUCAUACCAGCUGCAACAUGACCUUGUUCUGAAUUUUCGGGUUGG
rnacentral:misc_RNA from 1 species